rnacentral:rRNA from 1 species
GAUGAACGCUAGCGGCGGGCUUAAUACAUGCAAGUCGAGGGGCAGCAUGAUUGUAGCAAUACAAUUGAUGGCGACCGGCAAACGGGUGCGGAACACGUACACAACCUUCCAACAAGUGGGGGAUAGCCCAGAGAAAUUUGGAUUAAUACCCCGUAACAUAGCGAUGUGGCAUCACAUUGCUAUUAUAGAUUUUUCGCUUGUUGAUGGGUGUGCGGCUGAUUAGAUAGUUGGCGGGGUAACGGCCCACCAAGUCUACGAUCAGUAGCUGAUGUGAGAGCAUGAUCAGCCACACGGGCACUGAGACACGGGCCCGACUCCUACGGGAGGCAGCAGUAAGGAAUAUUGGACAACGGACGCAAGUCUGAUCCAGCCAUGCCGCGUGAAGGAUUAAGGUCCUCUGGAUUGUAAACUUCUUUUAUAAGGGACGAAAAAAGGCUUUUCUAAGUCGUCUGACGGUACCUUAUGAAUAAGCACCGGCUAACUCCGUGCCAGCAGCCGCCGCAGUAA